CACGUAGGGCGCAAGCGUUGUCCGGAAUUAUUGGGCGUAAAGAGCUCGUAGGCGGACUGUUGCGUCCGCUGUGAAAAGCUGGGGCUUAACCCUGGCCUUGCAGUGGAUACGGGCAGACUAGAGGUAGGUAGGGGAGAAUGGAAUUCCCGGUGUAGCGGUGAAAUGCGCAGAUAUCGGGAGGAACACCGGUGGCGAAGGCGGUUCUCUGGGCCUUACCCGACGCUGAGGAGCGAAAGCGUGGGGAGCGAACAGG
rnacentral:rRNA from 1 species